UACGGAGGGUGCAAGCGUUAUCCGGAUUCAUUGGGUUUAAAGGGUGCGUAGGCUGGGCGGUAAGUCAGUGGUGAAAUCCUGCAGCUUAACUGUAGAAUUGCCAUUGAUACUGCCGUCCUUGAGUGCGCUCGACGUGGGCGGAAUGUGCCGUGUAGCGGUGAAAUGCUUAGAUAUGGCACAGAACACCGAUAGUGAAGACAGCUCACGAGGGCGUUACUGACGCUGAGGCACGGAAGCGUGGGGAUCGAACAGG
rnacentral:rRNA from 1 species